rnacentral:tRNA from 1 species
UGAUAAAAAAAGGACUUUAACCUUUAUGAAAGGGGCUACAACCCUCCGCUUUAUUCGGCCAUUUUACC